AUUGAACGCUGGCGGCAGGCCUAACACAUGCAAGUCGAACGAGUGGCGGACGGGUGAGUAAUGUCAGGGAAACUGCCUGAUGGAGGGGGAUAACUAAUGGAAACGGUAGCUAAUACCGCAUACCAUCAGAUGUGCCCAGAUGGUAGUAGAUAGAGGGUGGGGUAACGGAGCACCAAGGCGACGAUCCCUAGCUGGUCUGAGAGGAUGACCAGCCAACUUGUAACUGUGAACCGGUCCAGACUCCUACGUGAGGCAGCAGUGGGGAAUAGUGCACAAUGGGCGCAAGCCUGAUACAGCCAUGCCGCGUGUAUUAAGAAGGCCUUCGGGUUUUAAAGUACUUUCAGCGGGGAGGCGUUACCCGCAGAAGAAGCACCGGCUAACUCCGUGCCAGCAGCCGCGGUAAUUC
rnacentral:rRNA from 1 species